UACAGGGGGGGCAAGCGUUGUUCGGAAUUACUGGGCGUAAAGGGCUCGUAGGCGGCCAACUAAGUCCGACGUGAAAUCCCAAGGCUUAACCUUGGAACUGCGUCGGAUACUGGUUGGCUUGAAUUCGGGAGAGGGAUGCAGAAUUCCAGGUGUAGCGGUGAAAUGCGUAGAUAUCUGGAGGAAUACCGGUGGCGAAGGCGGCAUCCUGGACCGACAUUGACGCUGAGACGCGAAAGCGUGGGGAGCGAACCGG
rnacentral:rRNA from 1 species